AAACUUACAGCACCAAAAUGACUUGUGAAGGAAUGGUGAGAACACAUCUUGACCAGUUUCCAGAGUUAAAUACAGAUAGAUAUGAUAGCAUCGUUAAGGAGAACGAAUAAAAGGAUUCACAAGAAAUGAACAUGAUGAAACAUUUGGCAAAUUGCCCCAGAACUGGAAAGGCAUGAAAGGCUAAACAUGCUAAAGGAGUAAAAUGAAGUUCACAAGAAAUAAGAUUUCAGACAUGUGCUGCAGCUAGAAACACUGAAACAGAUAUAUGCAACAUGUGGGAAUAUUUUGCAUAUAAAAUUUAAAGAAUGAAUAAAUGGGGAUAGGACAAAGUGUUUCCUGACAUUCCCGAGGAACUUGAAGGCUGUUUGUUUAAGAUAAGAAAACAACUUCAGCAUGCAAGAAAGGAGAUCCAUAGUUUGGAAUCAAAUAUUUGACAUUAAUUUAAUUCAUUUUUGUUGCUUAUACAAUUCUAUUUAUUUGAAAAUUAAAGUUGACUAAAACAUAA